AUUGAACGCUGGCGGCAGGCUUAACACAUGCAAGUCGAACGGUAACAUAAAGAAGCUUGCUUCUUUGAUGACGAGUGGCGGACGGGUGAGUAAUGCUUGGGAAUCUAGCUUAUGGAGGGGGAUAACUACGGGAAACUGUAGCUAAUACCGCGUAGUAUCGGAAGAUGAAAGUGUGGGACCUUCGGGCCACAUGCCAUAGGAUGAGCCCAAGUGGGAUUAGGUAGUUGGUGAGGUAAAGGCUCACCAAGCCGACGAUCUCUAGCUGGUCUGAGAGGAUGACCAGCCACACUGGGACUGAGACACGGCCCAGACUCCUACGGGAGGCAGCAGUGGGGAAUAUUGCGCAAUGGGGGCAACCCUGACGCAGCCAUGCCGCGUGAAUGAAGAAGGCCCUCGGGUUGUAAAGUUCUUUCGGUAGCGAGGAAGGCACUUAGUUUAAUAAACUAGGNGAUGACGUAA
rnacentral:rRNA from 1 species